AGUGAACGCUGGCGGCGUGCUUAACACAUGCAAGUCGAACGAGAACGGAUUAUAGCUUGCUAUAAUUGUCAGCUAAGUGGCGCACGGGUGAGUAAUAUAUAGGUAAUGUGCCCUAGAGAAGAGGAUAACAGAUGGAAACGUCUGCUAAGACUCUAUAUGCCUUUAAGACAAAAGUCUGCAAGGGAAAUAUUUAUAGCUCUAGGAUCAGCCUGUACAGUAUCAGCUAGUUGGUGAGGUAAUGGCUCACCAAGGCAAUGACGCUUAACUGGUUUGAGAGGAUGAUCAGUCACACUGGAACUGAGACACGGUCCAGACUCCUACGGGAGGCAGCAGUGGGGAAUAUUGCACAAUGGACGAAAGUCUGAUGCAGCAACGCCGCGUGGAGGAUGACACAUUUCGGUGCGUAAACUCCUUUUAUAUGGGAAGAUAAUGACGGUACCAUAUGAAUAAGCACCGGCUAACUCCGUGCCAGCAGCCGCGGUAAUACGGAGGGUGCAAGCGUUACUCGGAAUCACUGGGCGUAAAGAGCGUGUAGGCGGGUAUAUAAGUCAGAAGUGAAAUCCAAUAGCUUAACUAUUGAACUGCUUUUGAAACUGUAUACCUAGAAUGUGGGAGAGGUAGAUGGAAUUUCUGGUGUAGGGGUAAAAUCCGUAGAGAUCAGAAGGAAUACCGAUUGCGAAGGCG
rnacentral:rRNA from 1 species